rnacentral:lncRNA from 1 species
GGGGACAGAAAUCCCCACCUGGACAAGCUACGCACCGGAAGGAUUCACAGAUGCCGCGGCUCGCAGCGUUUCCUCUCCCGCGUCUCCGGGGCUGAGCUCUGAGGUCACGCACCAUCUCCGUCGGAACAAGUCCACACCGCCCCGUCCUAUCGGAGAGGGCAGGGCCGCGACGGCGCUGGCUCCUGGGUCUGCCCCAGCGUAGGGUUCUCAGUGGCACUAUUUUUGGCAGGUUUUUUUUUUUUUUUUAAAUCCUUGCUCUUUAUCACAAGCCUGUCGGGCAAAUGACAGAGGAAUUGCAAGCUUGAAUGGGCUUGUCUGACAGGCCAACUUUCAUCCCAGGCACUGCUGCCUGACUUUUAAAAAGGCACUCUGAGCCAAGGAGAGUAAUUUCACACCAAUGCCUGGCUCUAAUUUGCUUUUGGGUUUAAAAUGUUGCGUUUCAAUCACCCUCGCUCCAGGCUGUAGGGGAGAAGAUGGACCGCAUGUGUGAUUCGUGUGUUUGUAAGAGACGCACACAAAGGCGAUGGCUCUGCCUGUCUAAAGCCACAGUGCAGAGACA